rnacentral:rRNA from 1 species
GAUGAACGCUGACAGCAUGCUUAACACAUGCAAGUCAACUGUGGCUGACUGGUUAGUAACGCGUAAAGAACUUGCCUCUCAGUUAGGGACAACCUUUGGAAACGAAUGCUCAUACCUGAUCCUGUGAGAGAGCUUUGCGUCCCAUUAGCUAGUUGGAGAGGUACCGGCUCACCAAGGCGAUGAUGGGUAGCCGGCCUGUGAGGGUGAUCGGCCACAAGGGGACUGAGAAACGGCCAUUGCUGAUAAGGGAGGCAGGAGUGGGGAAUAGUGGAAAAUGGACCAAAGUCUGAUCAAGCAAUUCUGUGUGCAAGAUAAAGUUGUCGGAAUGAAAAGUGCGUUCAGUUGGGAAGCGGUACCAGCAGAAGAAGUGACGGCUAAAUACGUGCCAGCAGCCGCGGUAAUAC